rnacentral:rRNA from 1 species
UACGUAGGUGGCAAGCGUUGUCCGGAAUUAUUGGGCGUAAAGCGCGCGCAGGCGGCCUUUUAAGUCUGAUGUGAAAGCCCACGGCUCAACCGUGGAAGGUCAUUGGAAACUGAAAGGCUUGAGUACAGAAGAGGAAAGCGGAAUUCCACGUGUAGCGGUGAAAUGCGUAGAGAUGUGGAGGAACACCUGUGGCGAAGGCGGCCAACUGGGCCGACCCUGACGCUGAGGCGCGAAGGCGUGGGGAGCGAACGGG